GGAAGCGUGCCCGAGCAGGGACUACCUUGAUAGAGUAGACACGGAAACAAUUUUCCCGCCUCCC
rnacentral:tRNA from 1 species